UGAUAACUCUCUCUCUCCCUAUAAACUUUAUUCUUAGUUUCAGCCAUUGUCUUCUGCCAUCUCACUUUCGUUUCGCUUGCCGUUAACGAUGAAAUUGCUACAGGCGUCGUCUUGAAGGUGUUUCGCUUUCGAUCUGCAACCAUCAAUUUUAAAAGAGCAAUCCUAAUGUUAUUACUAUUGUCGAAGACACAGAUGUGUUGUGGUUGCCCAUUCUUUCUGAUUCCUCUUAUGAUGAUUUUUCUGUUGUUGUCGAUCAUGUGGCAUCUUGUUCAUCAAUUUUUCCUAUUUCGAGUUCCUCAUCAAGAAGUUCCAAUUGCACAUUUGAUGUCGUUGAUUUAAUAGACUUGGAUUUGUGUGUUGUAGACUUCUACAUAAAAGAAGGUUCAAUUUUUAACUGCAAAUUAAGAUGUCUUAAAGAAAACUCUUUAUUUGUUUGCUACUCAACAUAAUUUUGAGUUUAGGAUUGCCCGCCCCAAUCAAACUUCUCUUAAACUUUCUUGCAAAGACACUUCUUGUCAAUGACUACCUUUUUUAUUUAUACAACACAAGAAGUAAAUGAUGAUGACAUAUUCAAAUAUUA